rnacentral:rRNA from 1 species
AAAUAGAACUUUGCAGAGAGAGUUAACAGGGCGUGAAACCGUUAAUUGAGAAACGAAUCGGAGCCACGAAGUCGUUUCGUGUUUAGUUGGGUCAAGUUCAGCUUGUGAGCUAAAACUCAUGGGUGUAUUCUUGGUUCGGCCAAACUUGUAAGCGUACACUGCAACCAGUUAGACGAUUGGCCAUGGGCCCAGUUGCUUGGAUCAGCAGUAGCAUGGUGCAUUUCGGUGCAUUUGUGUUGCUUGGUUCAGGUGAGUGAACUAUGGCCAAAUACUGACUGGCAAAAUGAAAAUCGCAAUUCGCGUUUUAAAAAAUGCAGCUGGUCGCAUAGGUGUCUACAUGUUCGACUAGUUGGUGUGAGCUCAGCAUUCUUGAAUUUGGACUUGCUUGCUACCAGUGGGGCAACUCCUGGUGCUUGUAUAGCUUUCAUCUAAUCGGGUGUUGACUUCGCUAGCUAUCGUUCGGAUAUGAAUCGUUUGGAUGUUUAUGUGAGCUAGUUCGCAAUGAUUGGCAGUGAGUAGGUCGGCUUUCCGAACGACCCGUCUUGAAACACGGACCAAGGAGUCUAAUUAAGUAUCGAGUCGAUCGGUCUUGAAUAGGCCAGAUAGGUGCAAGCGUGCCGACUGAAGGCGUAGAGAAAUCGUGUGAUCGUGCAAGCAAUACCAGCUUACAUGCGCAACAUGUGCCUGUUCGUAUAGCAAUGUCGCAAUGAUGCUGAGCGGAGCAAAGAGAUACUUGAUUGGUACCCGAAAGAUGGUGAUGCUUGGGCAAAUUGAAGCCAGAGGAAACUCUGGUGGAGGAUUGUAGCGAUUCUGACGUGCAAAUCGAUCGUCAGACCUGAGUAUAGGGGCGAAAGACUAAUCGAACCAUC